CAAUGACCUUGGACCUUGCAUCUCUUCGGAGCGUACAGGAGUUUGCCGAAGCAUUCAAAUCCAAGAAUUUACCUCUCCAUGUGCUGAUCUGCAAUGCUGGUAUAUUUGGUGCUAAUUGGCAAUUGACUGAAGAUGGCCUGGAGUCCAUCUUCCAGACCAAUCAUCUGGGGCAUUUUUAUCUCAUUCAGCUCCUCAAAGAUGUUCUCUGCCGCUCAGCUCCUGCACGAGUUGUGAUAGUGUCGUCCGAAUCACACAGGUUCACAGACAUUAAUGACUGCUCAGGAAAACUUGACUUCAAUCGGCUUUCUCCGCCUAAGAAAGAUUACUGGCC